CAGACAGAAACUGAAAAAGGGCAUCAGCACAAACUAUGAAUGGAUUCAUUUGUCAUUGUGACUAAAUCACCAUGAAUCAUCACAGAAAGGACAGAUUUACAAAGUGCUGGAUUUGUGGUUGUCUUGGCAACCGACUCUACUGUGGAUCUGUGCAGCUCCUCCCGAGUCACCAUGCUCUUACUGGUUGAUCUUUGCUCUUCUGUCCAACCGCCCGGUUUAAGUGGAAGAUCAUGUACUUGCAGCUGUUUGAUACGCUUUUCAUUUUUGGUUGGUAGAUUAAGUGUUUCUCUGAUAGAUGUUUAAAAAUUGGGAUACUGUUUUAUAACUUUAGUUUGCUUUAAAAGAUUUAGCAGCACUUUCAUUAAUUGUGAUGUUUUUCGUUUUUAAAUGAGAACUUCAGUCAGGCAUGCACAUUUUAAUGACUUAAUACAUGUAUGUACUCUGUACUGUUUCUGCACUGUUCUUURUGUAAUACUUUGUGCUUGAGA